CAAUAGCGUAUAUUAAAGUUGUUGCAGUUAAAAGCUCGUAGUUGGAUUUCUGGCAGGAGUGACCGGCCGCACACACUGUGUGUGAGUUGCGUCAUUCUGGCCAUCCUUGGUGAGAUCCUGUUUGGCAUUAAGUUGUCGGGCAGGGGAUAACCAUCGUUUACUGUGAAAAAUUUAGAGUGUUUAAAGCAGGCUUAUGCCGUUGAAUAUAUUAGCAUGGAAUAAUAAGAUAGGACUUCGGAACUUAUUUGUUGGUUUGCGUUACGAAGUAAUGAUUAAUAGGGACAGUUGGGGGGUAUUCGUAUUUCAUUGUCAGAGGUGAAAUUCUUGGAUUUCUGAAAGACGAACUACUGCGAAAGCAUUUACCAAGGAUGUUUUCAUUAAUCAAGAACGAAAGUUAGGGGAUCGAAGACGAUUAGAU
rnacentral:rRNA from 1 species